AUGAAUGCUUUGAAAAGAAGAGUACAUGUUCUUAACGUACACAGAGAGCCCUGUUUGGUGCAAAUGGGCAACGGAGAGAGGAUGGAAGAUGGUCUUUGAGCAUGAUAGGUGAGUGGAAACAAGCCUAUCACGGGAGGCACCCGUUACAGUGCAGCAGUAUGCGAAGCAAUUCAAGUACUGAGCGAGGCUGUUGAUGCGAAUCGACAGUAAAUCAAGGUGGUAACGCGGAAGUUGUGCUUUCGUCCUUUGU
rfam:Enterococcus casseliflavus EC20, complete genome.